GCCGGGUGCACUGACGCUUGCCUGUAGUCCCAGCUACUCGGGAGGCUGAGGCUGGAGGGUCGCUUGAGUCCAGGAGCUCUGGGCUGUAGUGCCCUAUGCCACUUGGGUGUCUGCACUAGGUUCGGCAUCAGUAUGGUGACCUCCCGGGAACAGGGGACCACCAGGUUAUCUAAGGAGGGGUGAACGGGCCCAGGUUGGAAAUGAGAAGGUCAAAACUACCAUGCUGAUCAGUAAUGGGAUCGUGCCUGUGAAUAGCCACUGCAUUCCAGCCUGGGCAACAUAGCGAGACCCCGUCUCU
ensembl:misc_RNA Metazoa_SRP Metazoan signal recognition particle RNA